rnacentral:rRNA from 1 species
CUACGGGCGGCUCCAGUGAGGAAUAUUGCACAAUGGAGGAAACUCUGAUGCAGCAACGCCGCGUGGAGGAUGACGCAUUUCGGUGUGUAAACUCCUUUUAUAUGUCAAGAAAAUGACGGUAGCAUAUGAAUAAGCACCGGCUAACUCCGUGCCAGCAGCCGCGGUAAUACGGAGGGUGCAAGCGUUACUCGGAAUCACUGGGCGUAAAGGACGCGUAGGCGGGAUAUCAAGUCAGGUGUGAAAUCCUACAGCUUAACUGUAGAACUGCACUUGAAACUGGUAACCUAGAGUAUGGGAGGGGGAGAUGGAAUUAGUGGUGUAGGGGUAAAAUCCAUAGAUAUCACUAGGAAUACCUAAAGCGAAGGCGAUCUCCUGGAACAUUACUGACGCUAAGGCGUGAAAGCGUGGGGAGCAAACAGGAUUAGAUACCCCGGUAGUC